GAUCAACGCUGGCGGCGUGCCUAACGCAUGUAAGUCGAACGCAGCGCCUUCGGGCGCUGAGUGGCGAACGGCUGAGGAACACGUACGAACCUGCCCUCUCGUGGGGAAUAACGCCGCGAAAGCGGUGCUAAGACCGCGUACGCUGGGACCAAUGGUCUCAGGAAAGCCUUCGGGCGCGGGAGGAGGGCGUGCGGCCCAUCAGGUGGUUGGUGGGGUAACGGCCUACCAAGCCAAUGACGGGUAGCUGGUCUGUGAGGACGAUCAGCCAGACUGGGACU
rnacentral:rRNA from 1 species